rnacentral:lncRNA from 1 species
GUUCUACAACAACCAUCCAUUUGCUUCCAUGCUGCUUGCUAGUGCAUCAAGACUGGGUUCAUCCUAGCCUUGCUGCUAUCAAUAUGGGUUUAGUGCCCAUCUCACAAAACUCAGCUGGGCUUUUUGGAAAGCCAUUAUAUAGAUAAAGAAACAGGGUCUUUUUGGAGGCAGUGAGUUUUAGAAGCAGAAACUGAUAAAUAGUCGUAAGUAUAUAGACUGAUCUGUUAUAUUCAGUUUGAACUGGGUUAUGAUGUUCUGUAGUAUAGCAUUACUUUUUUUGAUGGGCAUUAAAGUUUUAUAUUUUUAAGUGAUCAAAUCUAAUAAAAUGGAAAAAAAACAAACAAAUCAGGUUUACUAAACAGUCCAAAAGACAACACAGGAGUAAGCAAUAAAACCAAAGCGUUGAGUGGCCCUUGUCCACAUCAUCCUCAAGAGGAGUUAAGACUCUCCAAUCUCCUCCAAAUCACACAUUUUGGUUUUUGCUUUCUUUUUAAGGUUUUUAAAAAGUGAAGCCCAAGAGUCCAGCAGGCCAUCCUGUGCUUAGCAGCAAGUCCAUCCUGCCUGCAUCAAGCUCUGGCCUGUGUCCCUCAGCAGCAACUGUAGAUUGUGGUGGCUCUUGAGCCUCACUCCUGUGCUAUGCUUCUCAGCACAUACUUGACAGUGUAGGCAAAGGCUGCAAACCCAACUAUAACAAACAAGUUCGCCAAAACGCCUCCCAGGAGUCCAUGAUGCCUGUUGGCCUGUGGGAGCCCACCGAGGUUCAGGCCGGCAGCAGGUGAAUGCCCAUUGAGGAGCUGGAGCCCAUUCUGGCCACGGUACAUCUCCCCAUCAGGAACCACGUCUCGCAAGGGAAGGUUCUGGGGCCUGCUACUUAGUUCAUCUUGUGCUUUCUGUUUCUGUUUAAUUUCCGUGAAGUCCGAUGUCUCUAUGCUGCCCAGGGUGGGGCCCUUUUCCACCAGGAAGCUCAGAAGCCCUGUUAGAAUGGUGUCUGGGUAGAAAUCUGUGAUGGAGAGACACAGCCUUGUGUUGCACUUAAACCUCCCAUUGGGGGUUAUCAUGUAAAUACUAGGAGGCUUAAAUGGAAAUUCUCUGGGAAAAAUUAGUUUUCCAUGAUAAUAGUCGAGGCCAGAGCAGGGUGCAGAAGAGUGGGGCCUGUUCUGUGAGCCGCACUCGCACUGGUACUUAGCUCACCGCACCCGCCGCAGCGCCUUCGCUGCUACCGCCGCUCAGCUUCCAAGAUGGCCCAUAACAUUACUUUUAAUUAGAGUUUUAAUCUUAUAAGAAAUCAAGGACUCCAUGAAGACCAAUAGAAGAUAU